UUGUAGAUUAUGGUUAUUGGUUACUCUCUAGGUGUUGGACCUAUUCCUUGGCUUAUAAUGUCUGAGAUACUUCCAGUGAAUAUAAAGGGCCUUGCAAGGAGUAUAGCUACUUUGACAAAUUGGUUGACUUCCUGGAUGAUCACAAUGACCGCAAACUUGCUUUUGACAUGGAACAGCGCAAGUUUGUGACUUAUGCAUGUUUUAAGGUG